AUAAAUUUCUAAAAAUAUUUUUGAUUUAAUUUCUGAUUAAGAUCUAAUACUGUACUGAUUGAAGUUUCAUACAUUUACUUUCAAUUCAGACUAUGAUAAGAUGCUAUAAUAGUACAGCCAGGGCCAGAUUUAGGGAUGUAAACAGGAUACAGGGCACAGGCAUUUGGGCCAUUCAUCAUCCUGCCAGUGGUUAUAUUCAAGGAAUGAAUGAUCUUGUAACGCCAUUUAUUGUUGUCUUUUUACACGAAGUUGUUUCUGCAGGUUGACUACUGGUGGACUCCUUGGACUUUGUGCAGUAACGAUAGUUUGGAUAUUGCAGCUUAUGCGCGCUAUACGGAGUUGUUUGGAAGAUAAAGUGGAAGGGUGAACCAGGAGAGAGGGGGACCUCCAAGACCAGCUGGACCACCAGGGUUUGAUGGAACAGUAGGUUUACCUGGAGAAUCAUUAGACCGGAGUAAUAGAAGAAAAGCCUGCGCCCCAAACAAAGUUGAAAAGCAUAUAAAAAGACCUAAGAAUUCCUUCAUGGUCUGGAAUCAAAUGUACCGGAAGAGUUUUUGUCAAAGAUGGCCCCACUUGCCGAAUACAGAAGUAAAUUGAUGGGUCAGAGCUGGAAACUCCUCUCGGAAGAUGAGCGCCAGACAUUUAUAGAAAAGGCAAAAGAACUGCGUAAAGUGCAUAAACUGAAUUAUCCAAGAAGUCCACCAAUAGUCAGCCUACCCCGCCUGCCAAAGUUCCUUGCUCCCC
rnacentral:lncRNA from 1 species